rnacentral:rRNA from 1 species
AAAGAACCAACAGGGAUUGCCCCAGUAACGGCGAGUGAAGCGGCAACAGCUCAAAUUUGAAAUCUGGCCCCCUCGGGGCCCGAGUUGUAAUUUGCAGAGGGAGCUUUUGGCGUCGGUCGUGGUCUAAGUUCCUUGGAACAGGACGUCACAGAGGGUGAGAAUCCCGUACGUGGCCGCCGGCCUUCGCCUUGUAAAGCCCCUUCGACGAGUCGAGUUGUUUGGGAAUGCAGCUCUAAAUGGGAGGUAAAUUCCUUCUAAAGCUAAAUACCCGCCAGAGACCGAUAGCGCACAAGUAGAGUGAUCGAAAGAUGAAAAGCACUUUGGAAAGAGAGUGAAAAAGCACGUGAAAUUGUUGAAAGGGAAGCGCUUGCGGCUAGACGUGCCCGCGGUUGAUCAUCCAGGCUCCGGCCUGGUGCACUCCUCCGCGGGCAGGCCAGCAUCAGUUCGGGCGGUCGGAUAAAGGCCUCUGUCACGUACCACCCCUCGGGGUGGCCUUAUAGGGGAGGCGCAACACGGCCAGCCCGGACUGAGGUUCCGCGCAUCUGCUAGGAUGCUGGCGUAAUAGCAGCAAGCGGCCCGUCUUGAAACACGGACCAAGGAGUCUAACAUCUAUGCGAGUGUUUGGGUGUCAAGCCCGAGCGCGCAAUGAAAGUGAACGGAGGUGGGAACCCUCACGGGUGCACCAUCGACCGAUCCUGAUGUCUUCGGAUGGAUUUGAGUAAGAGCAUAGCUGUUGGGACCCGAAAGAUGGUGAACUAUGCCUGAAUAGGGUGAAGCCAGAGGAAACUCUGGUGGAGGCUCGCAGCGGUUCUGACGUGCAAAUCGAUCGUCAAAUUUGGGCAUAGGGGCGAAAGACUAAUCG